UACGGAAGGCAGCAGUGGGGAAUAUUGCACAAUGGGCGCAAGCCUGAUGCAGUCAUGCCGCGUGUAUGAAAAAGGCCUUCGGGUUGUAAAGUACUUUCAGUCGUGAGGAAGGUGUUAAGGUUAAUAACCUUAGCAAUUGACGUUAGCGACAGAAGAAGCACCGGCUAACUCCGUGCCAGCAGCCGCGGUAAUACGGAGGGUGCGAGCGUUAAUCGGAAUUACUGGGCGUAAAGGGCACGCAGGCGGUUAAUUAAGUUGGAUGUGAAAUCCCCGGGCUUAACCUGGGAAUGGCAUUCAAGACUGGUUAGCUAGAGUCUUGUAGAGGGGGUAGAAUUCCAUGUGUAGCGGUGAAAUGCGUAGAGAUGUGGAGGAAUACCGGUGGCGAAGGCGGCCCCUGGACAAAGACUGACGCUCAUGUGCGAAAGCGUGGGGAGCAAACAGGGAUUAGAUACC
rnacentral:rRNA from 1 species